ensembl:lncRNA
GCGGGCUCCUCUUGCGGCGCAGCUCCCGCGCCCGCCGAGCCCCCGGCGGCCUCCGGAGGUGCGGGCAAGCACACCACACCAGGCCGACCCCCACCCCGCUUCGGCUGAGAGGAGGGGGCGCCGGCCGCCGCACAGGGUCUCUUCAAGGCCCGGGUCCCAGCGGCACUCUUGACCUAUUUUACGUCUUGACAGUCUUCCUCCUCCCCAGCCUAGCAGAAUCAGCACUAGGACAUCUCUCUGGAAGAUUUGGCUGAUAACACUGCCUAGGAAUGUGAAAAUUGGAACAAUAAUGUGCAAGGGAAGGCACUACUGGAUUCUGGAAAUGGGUCAGUUGCUGGAGAGCAUCCUCCAUGAUCCCAAAUGGAUAAAGGGAAGGCGAUGUAACUUGCUGAUGCUAGAACCACACUUGGGUGGCAAGACUACACACAGAGGCCAGGAAAAUCUCAGGUGAACUAUGUCCUAUUUAGUCCUCUUUGCUUGUCUCAUUCCUACUUGUCUUCGAUGACUAUGUGACAGAGUGACUCAAUGAGAUCCUAAUUUGCUUUAUCUCCUCACAGUCCUUUCCCAUUCUCCACCCAUUUCACAAAGGUAGUAUGACCCUUUGUGUCUUCCUGUGGUUUCAGGAGAGAUUUCUGUUUCUGG